GAUGAACGCUGGCGGCGUGCCUAACACAUGCAAGUCGAGCGAAGCGAUUUAGCGGAAGUUUUCGGAUGGAAGUUAAAUUGACUGAGCGGCGGACGGGUGAGUAACGCGUGGGUAACCUGCCUCAUACAGGGGGAUAACAGUUAGAAAUGACUGCUAAUACCGCAUAAGCGCACAGCAUCGCAUGAUGCAGUGUGAAAAACUCCGGUGGUAUGAGAUGGACCCGCGUCUGAUUAGCUAGUUGGUGAGGUAAAGGCCCACCAAGGCGACGAUGCGUAGCCGGCCUGAGAGGGCGGACGGCCACACUGGGACUGAGACACGGCCAG
rnacentral:rRNA from 1 species